CGGGUGUAUAACUGACAUCUAAACUACUGUUGUGUUCAAACAACUAUUGUACGUAGGUACACGACACAAUACGACUGCGGCAAAAGUUUUAAAUUAAUAUACGCUGUCAUUGUUGCACUAUAAAAUAUUAUGUUAUUAUUGGUUAGGCAUGCGGUAUACCUGCCUAUGCACGGCCGUUGACGCGUUUAAAAUGCCAUAAUGGACUAUCGGCACGUAGACACUGUCGAAUUGAUUCGGCGAAAAUGGAGUUUUUCCGGUACGUGUUUUUUUCAAUUUUGAAAACAUAAUAAUAUUACGAUUUAUAAUUUGGUCGAUUCGAUUUUUUUCAGCGUAUGCACCGACCGAGAUAUUCCGUGGCCUACAUGGCGGAUGACAUUAGGCAAUUUCAAGCUCCGGGCUACAUAUCUUAGCCACCUUUCCCAAAAAUUAAUUUUUUUUUUUUUUUCAAAAUAUAACAUUACAACUAGUUAUUAACUUAUAGAUAAUGAUAUGCCGUGGAAAAUUGUAUUAAUUUAUGAAUUAUUACAUAAUAAAUGUCAUUUUUAUUUUUA